rnacentral:rRNA from 1 species
GACGAACGCUGGCGGCGUGCCUAAUACAUGCAAGUUGAGCGCUUAAGGUUGGUACUUGUCCCAACUGGAUGAGCAGCGAACGGGUGAGUAACGCGUGGGUAAUCUGCCUUUGAGCGGGGGACAACAUUUGGAAACGAAUGCUAAUACCGCAUAAAAACUUUAAACACAAGUUUUAAGUUUGAAAGAUGCAAUUGCAUCACUCAAAGAUGAUCCCGCGUUGUAUUAGCUAGUUGGUGAGGUAAAGGCUCACCAAGGCGAUGAUACAUAGCCGACCUGAGAGGGUGGUCGGCCAAAUUGGGACUGAGAAACGGCCCAAACUCCUACGGGAGGCAGCAGUAGGGAAUCUUCGGAAAUGGACGAAAGUCUGAACGAGCAACGCCGCGUGAGUGAAGAAGGGUUUCGGAUCGUAAAACUCUGUUGGUAGAGAAGAACGUUGGUGAGAGUGGAAAGCUCAUCAAGUGACGGUAACUACACAGAAAGGGACGGCUAACUACGUG